AACCUAGCGGUUUUUGAAAAUUAUAACUUGCAAAGUUAUAGAAACUGAUAAAGUCUAGGUUU
rnacentral:tRNA from 1 species